CUUUUUUUACCUAGUAAGGAUGUGACAGACCUGCUCCUGACCCUUCUUUGUUAGUGGCCAGUAAAUAUACGCAAGGCAAAGUCCCACCCUAGUUUUGAAAAAAGCCAAACUAACAACUCUGCCCAAUUUCAAGGAACCGAUAUAAUUUUCAGUACAUGAGUGUGAUUUAGAAAUGGAAACAACAUCAGAGCAGGGUUAAAUCAACAACCAAGCCAUAGACCUUAAAAGGACCAGACUUCAUGGUUCAAUGAUGCCAAGAAAAAGAUUCCACCUAUAAACUCUUUAGAAAGUAACCACCUCAGAAAGUUCCAGACAAACCAGUUCUGCUUUGCAGAUCAGCCCUGUAUAAAGCUCUUACCACAUUAGUAAGAAGUUACUUGUGCUUUGGUUACAAACAGGCACAAUUAAAGGGAAGAAAAGGAAAGACUAGGACAGAAAACUCUAUAUUUGAUGCCGCCUGAGCCAAUUAGCUGAGUCUAGAAUUCUUUAUUUCAUUUUCUCACCUACUAGCCUCUCAAAAUGCACAGUCAUUGUCUGGAUUAGCAAACUACACAUCAUGCAUACCUGGUCUUUCAGUUUCUUCCGUGGGGCAUGUUUCUUCCAUUUCUUUCAUAUCUGAGGCACCAAUAUCCUAGCUGAGAAUCUGACAGAGAGUGGGCACCCUCUCAGUGGUUGCUGGGGAUAGAUGGACGAAUGAAUGGAUGAACUGAAGGAUGAAGGAACAGGUGAAAGAUUUGUC
rnacentral:lncRNA from 1 species